CGACUCGCUUGUCGAGUCCCACCAUGCUUUCUGCCAUGAGCUUCCUACACAGUCCUUUUUUGUGAGCUCACUAAACUCAUCCUUAAAUAAGUCCCCACGUGCAGAACAUUUAUCAGGUCACCCUGAGGUGACCUCAAGAGCUGUCCUCUGAACUCAUCGUCUGGGACUGCCCUUGCUCACUGCACGACAGCCCCCGCGACUCCUGGCUGUGCUCAAACACACAAGGUGUGCUGCUGCCUGGCGUCCUCGCGUGGGACAUCUCUGCCUCCUCUCCCCAGGGAGCAGGUUUCUCUCACUUGCUUCAUGUCUUUGCCUGGUGUAACCACCAGAUCCCAACUUCAUUAGGACAAAGGGACUAGAAAACUCCUGGAAUGCAGAAGUUGUGCAAAGCAAGAGUCCAUGCCAAGUGGUGGGCUCCGGGUGAAUAGCAAUCAAAGCAAGCUACACUGAGCUUGUUUUCUGAUUUGUAAACUGAAGAUAGCAUUUCCUGUUAAUGUGAAUAUUAAAUGAGGGAAUCCUGUCAUCUUUCUUAUUCAACACAACAUUCAAAGUCACACUUUCCCAAAUCGACA
ensembl:lncRNA